rnacentral:lncRNA from 1 species
GAUGUAUGCUUAGCAUUGUGAGAUUAUAUAUGCAUAUGAACUUGGUUGAUAACUCUAGCUUGAUUAGAGAGAUAACAUUGGAAAAUGAGAAUUGAUAACUCUAGAAUGAGUAGAAUGCUUAAUUGGACAAUUAGUAUGUGAAUUAGAUCGAGUGGCAUCUAACUUAGUGUUAAGGAACAUAGGUCGUGAGUAGACCUAGAAUCAAAUAGAUCGAGUGGCAUCUAACCUAGUGUUAAUAAACAUAGGUCGUGAAAUGAAAAGUACUUAACCUAGAGUCAAGUGAACCUAGGUUNNNNNNNNNNNNNNNNNNNNNNNNNAAGAGAGAGAUGCUUACAUUCCCUCACCGAUGACGUCGAAAAGAUAUUAAGGUUCAUCUGGAGUAGAAUUGUCAAGAGGACUUUUAAUGAGUUAGACAAGGCUAUGUCGGCUCCUAAUUCUUGCCCUCCCAUUAAAUGGGUAAGGAUUUGUGAUUUUCAGUGAUGCAUCGUACAGUGGUUUAGGUUGCUCGUCAUGAUCAGCAUAAUGUAGGUAUUGUUUUAUUGCUUCUGACAAUUUGCAAGGAUUACGAGAAGAAUUACCCUACCGCACUAGACUGGAGCUUUCCGCAUAGUCUUUGCUUGUGAAGUUGGUGGCGGUAUUACUUUAUUGCGAUCACUGCGAGGUUUCACUGAUCAUAAAAAGCGUUUCAGUCAUCUAUUCACCAAAAGGAGUUGAACCUGAGGCAACGCCGGUGGUUGGAGUUGUUGGAAGGACUAUGAUAAUUAGUAUUAGAUAUCACCCCGGCAAGGCGAAUACGGUGGCAGAGAUGCGUUGAGAAGAAGGUAGUGGGCAAGCUUGAGCAAUGAUUGAUUACUCACAGAGGGCCGUACUUUGGAGAAGCUGCAGGCGGUUGAUGCUCCAAGUAGUGUCCCCUGGGUACUGCAAUACUGAUGGUUUAUGAUUCUUGGAGCACGCACUCUUGUUGUGAUCAGUGAUCAAGGGAGUAAGCAGAGUGGAGAUUCUGCAUUUGUUGAGAAUGUUGAAGCAGUUUGGAGAGGGACAGGCAGAGGUUUUUUCUGUGGACAGUUCGGGAGAGAAUACAAGUACAAGGGACUGACUGUGUAUGAACAUAUCGAACUUCUAAAGUUCAUGAAGUCACGGUGUAUGUGGGCUGGAAAAACUAUUCUGAAUGGUCGCGGUAAGGUUCGGUGAAUGUUCGGAGCUUUUUGGGCUUUUCGUGCGCGUAGGCGGCUGAAAAACUGGAACCCGAAAGCUAGUUGGCCGGAGCUAAUUCGGCAUUAGCGUGGAUGAAAAGAUGAUGGAGACAUGUUCGAAACAUGUUUGGAGAAGUAAUAUAUAUGGAACCCAGAAGGAAUUAUCGAACUUAGCACAAAUUGGCUAAAGCUCGAAUAAGAUGAAUGCGACGAGUUCCAGUUAACGUUCCCAUCAAGGUGGAAGGCAUAAGAUGAUUCUAAAAGAUUAGAAAGGUUUUUAGCGUUGUCCGGCCACGAAAUAGAGUCGAAAACUAAGCUAAAAAACCAAGUCGGCAGCAUUGUGUACCGUAACAAGUGAUUGGUUGUACCUGUACAAGCAAGCAACGCCGAAGAAAUGCUAACUCUCGGAGUUUGAGUGAAAAGACUGUAAAGCCGGUGACCACGGGAAAGUGUACGCGGUACACAUGUUGCAGAAAAUGCAAGAUUUGGUCUGCUGCAAUUAAUAUAUUGAUUGGAGGGGUUUUAUUUUGCAAAUUGUACGCUAAUGUAAGUAAGCCCUAAAACCCCUCUCCCUCACAGCAGAUCUCUGCUCCUCUCUCCCUCCGUGUCUCUCCCUCUUGUUAAGGGUAUCGUGUCUCUCGACUCUCGCUCUCACCUGUUGCAAGAAAAAAGAAGGAAAAAGAAAAAAAGAGAAGGAAAAAGAAAAGAGAUAGGAAAAAAGAAGACAAUGAUGGAGAAAAGAAGCUACCUCGCAUCUUCAGUCUUCCUCAAUGCAUUUGAGAGCCUUGGAAGGUAAGCCAUGCGUCCCCUCUCAUGGUGGAUUAGGGUUAAGGUUUUGGUUUUUAAACCCCUAAUACUAGAGAUUUGGAGCUUCUAGCAUGAUUAAGAUACCAGUGUAAAGACCUAUAGACACAUGAAAUCCAUGGUGUUCUUGUAGUCUCUAAUGGUGGAAUCCUAGGUUUGUUCUAAAUGCCCUAGCGAGUAUGAUUCUAAUGAGAAUAGAAACAUCCAGUUUAGAGAACUUCUUGGGUUGAUCUAAGCUCGAUUAUCUUAGCUAUGAGAUCAAUCCCAGAAAUUGGAUUAUGCAUGUAGGCAUCGAAAUUGGCAGCUUUUUCGCCGGGUGUUUCUAAAGGCAAAUUGGUCCUUGUACGAAACCUAAUUGGGGACCUAACGAAGCGUGAAACGCUCGUUCGGCAAUGCCGACGAGCGUAACCGAAGUUAUUGACGAAACGGUCGGUUUGUACAGAUAGCCGCAGCACAGCGGAAUACAAGGUCUAAAAAUCAUGAGACGGAACUGGAGCACCUUGGAGUCAAGGAAUUAAAUCUCCAGAGGAGACGGAUCGGCCGGUUCGGAGGUUCGUUUGGAAGUCGCCAUGAGUUCGGGCCAACCGGCAACGGUUGCCGCGGAAGCCGAUUGCAAGUGACUAAAACAAGCAAUCGGACCACGGUGUUAAGGGUGGGUUGUUGUACCAAAGCGAUUAGGUCGCCAUUUAUGUGCUAAGAAUUAAGUAAUACCAUGGUAUGCAUAUAAAUGUAGAAUGAAGCAUGUAAAUGAUGCCAUGUACGCUAAAUAAUGCCCUGUUGAUAGUAUGAUGUAAAUGCUAAGUAGAUGCAAUAUAAAUGAUAUAUGAGAUUAUAAACCAUGAUUACAUUCUGAGAUUAUAGAUGCAUGCUUAGCAUUGAGAUUAUAAUGCAUAUGAACUUGGUUGAUAAACUCUAGUUGGAUUAGAGAGAUAACUAUUGGAAAUGAGAAUUGAUAACUCUAGAAAUGAGUAGAACUAAUUGGACAAUUAGUAUGUGAAUUAGAUCGACGUGGCAUCUAACUUAGUGUUAUGGAACAUAGUCUGAGUAGACAACUUAGGAAUCAAAAUAGAUUCGAGUGCAUCUAACCUAGUGUUAAUAAACAUAGU